GGCGAGGAGUAGGCACUGGCGUUGGCGCUGGGCGGUUUUGAGGGUAGCAAUCCCCAUACCUACUUUUUUUAUGCCCCUACAGCUAUCGUCCUUAGACGCUGUUGCUGGACCUUUUCUCUUUUCUCUGCGUGCACCUCCUUUCCAGUCCAAGAUGGAAUCAACUGCUGCAGCAUGUGGAAAGAAUUACUCAAGCUGCUGGGCCACCAAGACUGCUGACCGAGAAGCUCUUCUGGAAGGAUGCAGGCGUGGGCCGUGACAGCUUGCUGCAGGAUGCUUGGUUUGCGUUGCUAUGUGCGUGGACACCUCCCAAGCUGGACCAUGGGCUUCACCUUUCUGUGUGUAGGUCUGCUACGUGCUGCAUUAGAGUGUUGCUGCAUGGAUGAGGCCGAGAACGUCCAAGCUGCUGGACCGAGUGAGGGCAGGAUGGAGCUGGAUUGGAUGCUGGUUGCUGUCCCUGUGAAACCCAAAUGAAUAAGCGUGUAUGUUGAAGGCUGCUGCUGGGUGCUGCAGCAUUUUUUCCAAGUGUGGGCUGCUUCUCCUUUCCUAUUCCCGUGCCAACAUGUAGUGUAAUUAGUGGCAUCAAUUCAAUUUGCUGGACGUCACCCCAUCUUCAAUAGAAACACCCAUGUGCUUUUUUUUAGAGAAAGUAAUUGGUCCAAACUGUGACACCACUGCUAACUUCCUAAAGCUUUGGGCCGUGAUGCGCUGGGGCUGCAGCCUCUUCAAAUGCUUCUUCAAAGGAGUUGUGUGGACCGUGGAGGCAGCACAUUUAGAAUUAAAUUCCAAGUUUUCUAAAUUCAACCCCUAUUCUCUGUGCACCCCCAAAAUUGAUAUUUGCAACUCCUCUCUCUUCUUAGCUUAAAAUAAAAUUGACGUGGCAUUUCUC
rnacentral:lncRNA from 1 species